rnacentral:rRNA from 1 species
AGCAGCCGCGGUAAUUCCAGCUCCAAUAGCGUAUAUUAAAGUUGUUGCAGUUAAAAAGCUCGUAGUUGAAUUUCGGGGUUAGUAGGUUGGUCGUGCCACUGGUACGUACUGGUCUCACUGAUUCCUCCCUCUUGAAGAACUGUAAUGUCAUUAAUUUGGUGUUGCGGGGAAUCAGGACUGUUACUUUGAAAAAAUUAGAGUGUUUAAAGCAGGCUUACGCUUGAAUACAUUAGCAUGGAAUAAUGAAAUAGGACGUUUGAUCCUAUUUUGUUGGUUUCUAGGAUUGACGUAAUGAUUAAUAGGGAUAGUUGGGGGCAUUAGUAUUCAAUUGUCAGAGGUGAAAUUCUUGGAUUUAUUGAAGACUAACUACUGCGAAAGCAUUUUGCCAAGGAUGUUUUCAUUAAUCAAGAACGAAAGUUAGGGGAUCGAAGACGAUCAGAUACCGUCGUAGUCUUAACCAUAAACUAUGCCGACUAGGGAUCGGAUGAUGUUAAUUUUUUUCAGUGACUCAUUCGGCGCC